GUUGUUCGCCGUUUGUGUUUCAACAUGUUCGGUGGUGAUUAAGUUAGGGAAAAUCACGGACGACGGACCCUUCAUUUUACGCUGUUACACCGGGUUUUAAGAGCUGGCAAAGAGUUCAGUUGCAACUCGGUCCCGAAGGUCAGGUGCCACACCAACCGCAAACAUAAUGGCCGACAUGGAAUUUCAUCUCUAUUAUCUGGACCGUCGGAGCGAGCUUCGAACGCCGAAGUUCGGAGUACUCGGUUGAUACCCAAUAGAAAAACGUCCUAAUUCCGUGAAACGAUAACCGGCAGCCAAUACAACAAGCGAGGGAACAAGUGACGGGGCUGCUGCAGGAGGCCAGUGCCAUUCUGAAACCAAUUUUAUUUAACAAGUGCUACUUUAUUCUGAAUCCGAUUCUACUAAUCACCACCGUAUGGUAUUCUGCAUGGUACGGAUAUAUUUUUGGAGACGAAUCAUUUUUAAAACUGCGAAUAAAUUAUAUAAAUGAAAAUGUAAAUAAA